rnacentral:rRNA from 1 species
AGGAAAAGAAACCAACAGGGAUUGCCUCAGUAACGGCGAGUGAAGCGGCAAAAGCUCAAAUUUGAAAUCUAGCACCUUCGGUGUUCGAGUUGUAAUUUGAAGAUGGUAACCUUGGGUUUGGCUCUUGUCUAUGUUCCUUGGAACAGGACGUCAUAGAGGGUGAGAAUCCCGUCUGAUGAGAUGCCCAUUCCUAUGUAAGGUGCUAUCGAAGAGUCGAGUUGUUUGGGAAUGCAGCUCUAAGUGGGUGGUAAAUUCCAUCUAAAGCUAAAUAUUGGCGAGAGACCGAUAGCGAACAAGUACAGUGAUGGAAAGAUGAAAAGAACUUUGAAAAGAGAGUGAAAAAGUACGUGAAAUUGUUGAAAGGGAAGGGCAUUAGAUCAGACUUGGUGUUUUACGAUUAUCUUCUCUUCUUGAGUUGUGCACUCGUAUUUCACUGGGCCAGCAUCGAUUCGGAUGGCAAGAUAAUGGCAGUUGAAUGUGGCUUCACUUCGGUGGAGUGUUAUAGCUUCUGCUGAUAUUGCCUGUCUGGAUCGAGGGCUGCGUCUUUUGACUAGGAUGCUGGCGUAAUGAUCUAAUGCCGCCCGUCUUG